CAGUGAAUCCAAUUGGACUCAAUGCGUGUCUAACUACCAUCUCUAUAGUGAAGAUGGACUCCAUUUUCCCAAAUAUACUGGGUGGAAUUCACAUCAUGGUUGUCUGCUCACACCCACCAUCAAAACCAUGUCCUCAUCUCCUUGUGGCCCAGAAUCUAAUCCCACCUUCUCAGAGAACAUUCCUGCUUCCUCCAGCCAAGGCUCAGGAUAAUCAAAGUUGAGAGGAGGAUGCUCGUUUCCUAGAAAGGAAAGGGCAUCAGAAAGGAAAUUCCUAGGACCCUUCGCAUUUCACAGAAGAAAGAGAAUCCGUUUCCACUGCAGUUUGGAAUGGAAGAACAAUAGGGAUGCUCUGGAAUUAUAAUGGUUGUAUGGGUGAGCAGCCUGGCAAGAAUCAUUUUCAAACACCCCGCAUCCCUGGUGUCAGGGGAGGUGAUCCAGGAGACCACAUCUGAGCUGCCGUGCAGAGUCGCCCUCCAACAUUACUGCCCAUGUCUGGUAAUAACAGGAUACCACCUUGUCUGUUCACCUUUAACCUGGAGGCCCAGACAUCCCUCUCUUUCAUUACACGGUGACCUCUCCCAUCAGCAGCCUGUGACUAUCAAGUCUUUGUUCCUGUGAACUUGGCUGCCAUGUGUGAUUCUGACUGACAACAGAGAGGAGCCCUGGGCUCGGGCGGCAGGUGCAAGCUUCAGGGAAGUUCGCCUUGGGUCACACCAAGCUCCUGCAUGUUUUCUUGAGAGUAGAGAGUCCUGGAUCAUGAUCGCUCCCACCUCAGGACCUUGCUCCAUGGCGACCCCUUUGCCUGGGAAGUUCCUUCUCCUCCUUCUCACCGAAUUAACCUCUCAUCAAGUCCUGUCCCACUUGACGCUGUUCAUGAUGAUGGAGUUUGUUCACGAUGCUAGGGUGCCUGCUUCCCAAUCCAGGUGCCCUGGCGUGGACUGGUCUGCCUGGCAGAAGGUAUGCCUUUUUCUAAUUCUUACAAGUUUACUUGUGACACUGUGAGUCCA